rnacentral:misc_RNA from 1 species
AGCAGCCGCGGUAAUUCCAGCUCCAAUAGCGUAUAUUAAAGUUGUUGCAGUUAAAAGCUCGUAGUUGAAUUUCGGAAUCUGUCCAUCGGUCGGGCUUCACUGUCCGUACUGGUGUGGUGGGUUCUUACCUUCUGAAUAACCAGCAUGCCAUUCACUUGGUGCGCUGGGGAAGCAGGACUAUUAUCUUGAAAAAUUGAGUGCUCAAAGCAGGCUAGUGCCUGAAUACAUUAGCAUGGAAUAAUAAAAUAGGACGGCAUGGUUCUAUUUUGUUGGUUUCUAGGAUCACCGUAAUGAUUAAUAGGGAUAGUUGGGGGCAUUAGUAUUCAAUUGUCAGAGGUGAAAUUCUU